GAUGAACGCUAGCUACAGGCUUAACACAUGCAAGUCGAGGGGCAGCAUUUCAGUUUGCUUGCAAACUGGAGAUGGCGACCGGCGCACGGGCGAGUAACACGUAUCCAACCUGCCGAUAACUCGGGGAUAGCCUUUCGAAAGAAAGAUUAAUACCCGAUGGUAUAAUCAGACCGCAUGGUCUUGUUAUUAAAGAAUUUCGGUUAUCGAUGGGGAUGCGUUCCAUUAGGCAGUUGGUGAGGUAACGGCUCACCAAACCUUCGAUGGAUAGGGGUUCUGAGAGGAAGGUCCCCCACAUUGGAACUGAGACACGGUCCAAACUCCUACGGGAGGCAGCAGUGAGGAAUAUUGGUCAAUGGGCGCAGGCCUGAACCAGCCAAGUAGCGUGAAGGAUGACUGCCCUAUGGGUUGUAAACUUCUUUUAUAUGGGAAUAAAGUUUUCCACGUGUGGAAUUUUGUAUGUACCAUAUGAAUAAGGAUCGGCUAACUCCGUGCCAGCAGCCGCGGUAAUACGGAGGAUCCGAGCGUUAUCCGGAUUUAUUGGGUUUAAAGGGAGCGUAGGUGGACAGUUAAGUCAGUUGUGAAAGUUUGCGGCUCAACCGUAAAAUUGCAGUUGAUACUGGCUGUCUUGAGUACAGUAGAGGUGGGCGGAAUUCGUGGUGUAGCGGUGAAAUGCUUAGAUAUCACGAAGAACUCCGAUUGCGAAGGCAGCUCACUGGACUGCAACUGACACUGAUGCUCGAAAGUGUGGGUAUCAAACAGGAUUAGAUACCCUGGUAGUCCACACAGUAAACGAUGAAUACUCGCUGUUUGCGAUAUACAGUAAGCGGCCAAGCGAAAGCAUUAAGUAUUCCACCUGGGGAGUACGCCGGCAACGGUGAAACUCAAAGGAAUUGACGGGGGCCCGCACAAGCGGAGGAACAUGUGGUUUAAUUCGAUGAUACGCGAGGAACCUUACCCGGGCUUAAAUUGCAUUUGAAUAUAUUGGAAACAGUAUAGCCGUAAGGCAAAUGUGAAGGUGCUGCAUGGUUGUCGUCAGCUCGUGCCGUGAGGUGUCGGCUUAAGUGCCAUAACGAGCGCAACCCUUAUCUUUAGUUACUAACAGGUCAUGCUGAGGACUCUAGAGAGACUGCCGUCGUAAGAUGUGAGGAAGGUGGGGAUGACGUCAAAUCAGCACGGCCCUUACGUCCGGGGCUACACACGUGUUACAAUGGGGGGUACAGAAGGCAGCUACCUGGUGACAGGAUGCUAAUCCCAAAAGCCUCUCUCAGUUCGGAUCGAAGUCUGCAACCCGACUUCGUGAAGCUGGAUUCGCUAGUAAUCGCGCAUCAGCCAUGGCGCGGUGAAUACGUUCCCGGGCCU
rnacentral:rRNA from 1 species